rnacentral:lncRNA from 1 species
AGGAUUUAGGUGUACUGGGUUUAGGAUUUGAGUGUGGAAUGGCUAAUCCUUUUAAUCUCCAUUGAUGGUGACUUUUCUCUUUGUUGAUGCUGAUGGACAUAGUCUUGGUCAUACCACAUUAAAUUCUCUGUUUUUUUCUCUGUACAUGCACCUGGCCGCAACAGGACAUUUGUGUUGGAAACCUGUAUUAGGAUUUGGUGACCCAUAGUAACAAAAUUGAUUAGUGACUCAUAAUUCAAUAUUUGAGCAUAUUUUCUAAUAAGAGAAAUUUGAAACAUAUUGCCACCUCUUAUUAAUGAAACCUAACUAGUUUUUGAUUGUGCCGACCUCAUAAUUAAUCUUGCUCAGGAAUGUCAAACCAAGCAGCUAUAAAAUCUCUUCAAGCAUACAUUUUUAUCUUGCUUUUGUACUUUAUAAUUAAGAACUUUAUUCAAGCAUUUAGUGCAAUAACAUUUGACCAUUUUUAAUAUUAGUAAAAGCUAGCCAUUUUAUACUUCUCAUGCUUUUCCAGGUCCGGGAUAUAACCCACUUGCCAUUUGCUGAGCGAGAAUUGAUGCUAAUAAAGAUUGCCGUAAAUGCUGCUGCACGACGUGACGUUCUUGAUAUUGCCAGCAUUUUCAGGGCUAAAGCUGUUGAUGUGUCAGAUCAUACAAUAACCCUUGAGGUAAAGUCUUUUUUUUUUUUUUUCGAACGGAAAAUGUUAGCAGUUACAUGUUAGAUUAAUAUUUACUCCUUCGUCUGGGCUUGAACCGAACACCUCUCUAACUCCUUAUCUCUUAGCUCAAACUAGUUGAGCUACCCAACCCUUGAGGGUAAAGUCUACAUAGAUUUUUCAACCAGUGAUACAGUAUCACACACACACACAAUAUGUUAAGUGUGAUACUGUAUCGCUAUUGGUUUUUGGCAAGUACUUCUGUUUUAGUUUUUUUUUUGUUUAGUACUUUUUUUUUCUUUCUUCUAUAUUGGUUUCCUUUUUUUGGUCUUUGAACAUUGGGAUGAAGAAAAAGAAAGAUAAAUACAAACUUCCGGGCUCUGUUUUUGGUCUUAGUUGUUGCUCUUUCGAGUUGGUUUCAACUGAAACUUCUUCCCUGUGAAUCCUUUGCCGCUGCCGUCGAGAAAAAAGAAUAAAGAGUUCCAAAACUUCUUCCCUAGAAAUCCUUUGGAACCUGAAUAGCAUAUCCAAGUUUUUUUCUUUUUCUUUACAAAAACGAAUUUUUAAGGUUAUUAGGCAAGGAUCAACAAAGCCUUAUACUCACUACAUAAGCUAUAUCUCUAUUCAGUGUAGGAUCUCAACACCUCAUCAUCACUAGGAUUGGACAUCUAGACGUGGGCAAAUGUAAUUGGAGUAACAUGAAUAUAAGCACACCCCCACGCCCAACAGUGGAUCUUUGUAGUAUGGACAAAUGCAGGUGGAAUAACAGAUCUUAACCCAUAACAUAUCUAGGAUAGGUCUUGAUGCUAUAUUUGAAUUUGGACUUUAGGCCUAACUCAAGCGCAAAAACUAGCUCAAUUAGUGAGGACUGCCCUAGUCUUAUAAGGACUGAUUUCGUUAUAUUCCUAUAUCUCUAGUUGAUGUGGAUCACGACAGCCCUGCUCAAGACUUGACAUCUGGAGUAUGGACAAAUAGUGGCAGCCCAAUAACAACACUCUCUAAGCUAUUUAUUCAGCAUCCUUACAUGUUAAAAAUCCAGCUAUGCCCAUUGUCUGCAGCAUUCCACACCUGUUUUCUUAAUUGUGGUGGUUAGCCGUCAGCAAUAGAAUCGCUAAUUUUCUCAUCUCAACAGACAUACUUUUAGGUUUAAGUAGGUACUAUACGACGGGUGUACUGUACCCCAUUUUUGUAAUUCAUUAUAUUAUUCCUCUUUAAGAUUAAUAUUAAUAAUGAAAUUGGGGCAAUAAUAUGAUAUUUUUCUUUGAAAAGGCUUAUACAGAAUACUUUUGCAAACUUCUCUUGACAGUUGACAUUGCGUCUACAUUAAAAUUUCAUCCUUUCACCCAGGGUUAUGAUUGUUAUCCAGGUUGCUUCUUUUUUACUUAGUGCGGUUAGGAUAAUCAGAAAAAUCGGGAACUUGAUGUCAAGUUUUUUUUGUUGUAGUUAGCUGUUUGCAUUGAAGCAUUUGAUUCUUCUGCCAUAAGUAUAAAUGGAAUUAUCAAAGUACUGACUUUGGAUCCAUUAAUAUUUUUAAAUUGUUUCUGGAACUAAGUGAUAUGCUCUUAUGUCAGCUUACUGGAGAUCUGGACAAGAUGGUUGCAUUGCAGAGAUUGUUAGAACCAUAUGGCAUUUGUGAGGUCUGUUUUAUUAAUCUUUCCCAUGUAUCUGGUAGAUAUUUUGCUGUGACUGUUUACUUGUUUAACUAUACUCUGUUCAAUAUCCCAAAAAACAAAACAUUAUUCCAUAUAUUUUGCAGAGUCACAUUGGAUGCAUUUGCUUCCUUUUUGUAUUCACUAGUUCUGUUGAUGAUGGUAUUUUGCAUAGGGUAUGAUUGGAUGGAGGGUUUUGUUAGGAAAAGAAAGGGAAAGCAAUGGCCAUUUACUGAGUCAUUUUUAAUUAGCCAAAAUGUCAUUUCUUAUAGGAAACAGUUAAAUUAAUGUGAAAACAAUAUUUGUAAUUAAAGCUUUCUCUAAAUGAAUUUGUCUCCAUUACAAGUAAGGCUGCAUUCUACUUUAAAUUUUAGUUUGUCAUCAGGAUACACUUAGAAUUAUAAUUAAGAAUGAACACACUUGUUUACUUUAGAAGAAUGCUGUCCAUAAAACUUUGCUUCAUUUUUGUUCGAAAACCUUAAGUGUGGGCUUCACCAUGUCUGAAGGUUUAAUUUUUAAAUCCCAUAAGAACAAGUGUGAUAUGCCUCAGUAUACACCCUUUAAUUGACAAAAUAAUAUACAUUGUGUUUUUGAACCUACAAAUACAAUCACAUUACCAAUCCUGAGCAGGUCUAAACCACCAAAUCAUGUGUUGAAUUGGAUCAACAGUUUGGUGCUGCACCUGCCAGGCAGCACAU